rnacentral:rRNA from 1 species
UAGGGAAUCUUCGGCAAUGGACGAAAGUCUGACCGAGCAACGCCGCGUGAGUGAAGAAGGUUUUCGGAUCGUAAAACUCUGUUGUUAGAGAAGAACAAGGACGUUAGUAACUGAACGUCCCCUGACGGUAUCUAACCAGAAAGCCACGGCUAACUACGUGCCAGCAGCCGCGGUAAUACGUAGGUGGCAAGCGUUGUCCGGAAUUAUUGGGCGUAAAGCGAGCGCAGGCGGUUUCUUAAGUCUGAUGUGAAAGCCCCCGGCUCAACCGGGGAGGGUCAUUGGAAACUGGGUGACUUGAGUGCAGAAGAGGAGGGUGGAAUUCCAUGUGUAGCUGUGAAAUGCGUGGAGAUGUGGAGGAAUACCGGUGGCGAAGGCGGCCCCCUGGACAAAUACUGACGCUCAGGUGCGAAAGCGUGGGGAGCAAACAGG